rnacentral:tRNA from 1 species
GGUUUUAUAGUCAAAAAUGAUUUUAAAUUGCAAGUUUAAAGGUAAAGAUUCUUUUAAAGCCU